AAAAAAAAAAAAAAAAAAAAAAUUAAUUUAUAUACAUAUUUUUACUGCAGGAAAAUAUGACAAGGUAAUGAAUAAAAUAUUUCACAAAUUAAAGUAUAUCUCAUUAGGAUAAAAUUCUGUGGGGGAGUUGGAAUGGAAAUACAAGAUUGAAAGAAAGUAAUAUCUCUGACUGCUGAAGAGGUUAUUUCUAUUUUUAAAUAGAUUAUGAUAGAAUUCAAAUUGUUGUAGUAUCUCCAGUCAAAGGAACUUAGGCUUCUUGAGAAAGUGGUUGAUUGCAGGUCUAAGGCAGGAAAAUACAAGAUGAAACUGGAAUAUCUUGUGAUGGCAGAAAAUAAGGAGGUGCUCACAAAAAGAUGGCACAUGUCUGAAGGCUACAGGAACCAACCUGAAGGAGCUCUCCAGUGGAAAUGCUGGAACAAUUUGAGCAAACAAUAAAAAAUUAUAAUAUUGGAUUAUAACCCACACAAUAAAUAUCUGUGUGUCCAUACUGAUGUAAACAAUUGAAUGAGUGAAUGAAUGAAUGAAAAGAAGAAACAGUUCUUCUCCCCAGUAAAUUCCAAUUGAUAAAUGUAGAAGAAAUGGGAGAAACAAAAAUCACUAUCAGGAAAACACAACAGUAAUAAUUGUUGGCAAGACCUACCAGUUGGUGCAAAAGUUAGUGGGUGAAUGUUUGAGGAAAAACAGAAUAUUUGCAUAACCUUAGAGUAUUUUCCCCAAAAUAAUCACUAAUUACAAAGAGAAAGUAAUAACUUUACAGUAGAGAAACUUCUUUAAUCAAGGGAUCAAGGUUAACAGAAGCAGUAAUAAGCCACAUCAGCAUCAUGUACCCCCUGGUAUGGCAUUGAGAAGGGCACAUGACUUCUUUGGUAUCCUCCCCAAAAUGCAUAAUCUCAAUCAUGAAAAAACAUUAGACAAAUCCAAGUUGAGGGACAUUCCACAAGAUAAAUGAUCACUUCAAAAGUGUCCUGGUCAUGAAAGAUAAGGAAAGAUUGAGGAAAUGUCAAGGAUUGGAGGACACUAAAGAGACAUGACAACUACGUGCAAGUUGAAAUCCUCAAAUGGAUCAUGGAACAGAAAAUGGUCAUUAUGGGAAAAUGGGAAAGUAAAAUAAAGUCUAUGGUUUAAUUAAUAGUAUUGUACCAGUAUUAGUUUCUUUGUUUUGAUGAUUAUACCAUGGUUUUAUGAGAUGUACCAUUAGAAGAAGCUGAAGGAGGCUGUACAGGAACUCUCUGGACUAAGUUGGCAAUUUUUCUGUAAACCUAAAAUCAUUUCAAUAUAAAAAGUUAACAUUUUGCUAUGAUAUUAGACACCACUGGAUAUAUUAAAAGGGUGAUAAGGCACUUUUAUUUUUACAUGUUGUUAUUUAUAAUAUUCUGAAAAUUGCAUCCUAAUUAUAAAAAAUUUUGGCUGUCAACUUAGAAAUUCGUGAAGCAAUAUGCCUUCUUUCAUGAUUCUUUUAACAAUUUUGUAUGCUAGCCAAAAAGUUUGAGGACCACUGCUAUAUGACAUUUUUUCUCUCAUGUCUCAGAUGAGAAGCAGGGCAAAACCCUGUGUGUCUCCAACUUACCUAACACACCAUCCGCUGUAGGAUUAGGAGCCAGACACGUCUUGCUGCAGGCCAUGCUCACUUCCAUCUGCUCUCUUUUCCCUGCAUUCUUCUUUUGUGUCACUUCCCUGACUUGUCAGUACUUCUAAUUCUCAUAGUCCUGCUAUCCCCUACAACCUCGUGCCUUAGUAUUAAUAGGGUACAGCAGGGAAAAACUCACUUAGUUUCCAUUUUGUUCUUGGAGAAGAAAAAUUUGGAGACAUUUCCAAAAUGGCAUGUACAUCAUAAUUCUUAUUGCCAACAUUUAUAAGAAACUUUGACUGUAGUGAUUAUCAAGAUACAUGCUUGGAAUAUUUAUUCCCUCUUUCCCCACCUUUCAAAAUAAGGAUUUAGAGCAGGAGUUGGCAGGGCCAAAUCCAGCCUGCAGCCUAUUUUGGAAAUAAAGUUAUUGGGAUGCUGCCAUCCCCAUUCACUCACAUACUGUGCAUGACUGCUUUCAUGCUUCCAUGACAGAGCUGAGUGGUUGCAACAGAGACCGAAUGGCCUGCAAAGCCUAAAAUAUUUACUUUCUGGACCCUUACAGGAAGUUUGCCAACCCCUGAUUUAGAAAGUGAAAACCUAAAUGGGGAAGUCUUACAUACUUUAACGUAUCUUAGCAAGCACUGUUAUGUUAAUGUAUAUGGACAGCACUUAAAAUAUAUCAAUAAACAAUUAUGAUCAGUAAACAUUUAUUUAGAGCCUAUUGUGGCCCAGAGAGUGUCCUGUGCUCAGAGGCUAUAAAUACCAAUAACACCCCAUCUCUCCCCUCAUGGAACUCAGUCUCAGGGGAGAGGAAUAUGUAAAUGAUAAGUGCAAUGCAAUGUGACAUAAAUAAUAUCAAGAAGAAGAGAAUCAGAAAAAAAAGGAGAGGGGACUGAUUAAUUCUGUCAGAAGUAGAGAAAGGCUUAACAAGAUAAGUGAUAUGUAUUAAAUUGUAGGAAAUGUUAGAUAAACAGCUUUCUUUAGUAUUUUUUGAGUUAGAAAGCAAGUUUUUAGCUUGGGGUCAGAAUAUUUUUAGAGAAAAAGUUUAAAAUGUGCCUAAAUCUGAAAUUCUGGAUUUAAAAAAGUGAAAAUCUGCAUGUUCCUCUAAUACCUAAUGACGAAUUCUAAUUGCAGAAGGAUGCCAAUAACUAAAACCACAAAAUGAACCCUAUGUAUACCGGUGACCUUCUUUACUCAGAAUUAAUUAACACAAGCACUUGUUUCUUGCAGAGCACUUUGCUGUAAUUUAGAACAAAUUAAGGGAAAAAAUCAUUCAAGUGCUGUUUUCUUCACACCAUGAAGUAAGCAUGAUGGACCAAAGUUAACUAAUUUAAAAUAUUAUCAUCCAUUUCUUGUAAUUAUGAAUAGCAAUACCAUCUUUUUUCUUCAAAAAAAAAAAAAGACAUCAUGAUCUAUGCUAUUUUCAACUUGUUUCCUGUGCUUCUAUUAAUGGAAAUUGAUUUUUCAAGAUUAAUGUAAAAUGUGUUUCUGUUUCUCCCAUUAAGUCUCUUAUUUAUAUUAGAUCCAAUGUAUAUGUUCCUGGAUAUUUUUCAAAUAAAUAUAUUUUUAAUAUAAUACAGCAAAUUGUAAAUUGUUAAAGGACCAUUUAUAAUGUUUUCUCCUUGCCCUCCCUAGCACUGAAACUGUGGUUUUAUUAUUGUCUUCACACUGUUGUUUGUGAAUUAACUUGAGCUCCUUGAGUUCCUACUUCUAAGAGAUUAUUUAAACUUUACUUUUUACCUUCUUAGUAUACAGAGCUUGGUAGGAGCUGGAAACCCGACUCACAGAUUUAGGAAACAGUGGGUUCUUGUCCCUGUGGACAUCAGAACUUGGGGGACGGAGAGAUAGAGAACCAGAAGGCAGAACAAGGAAAAACUCAAAGAAAGGAAUGGGGAGGAAUGGAAACGUAACAGGACAUGUUGCCUCAGUGAGUCACCAAGGGCUUUGGAGUUCUUAGCCCAAAAUGUGGUUCUGUGGAGGCUGAGGACAAACUUCAGGACAGAGCAUGCCUUAAUCGAUGUGCUAAGCCACUGGCUCGGGCAGUCCUUAAGCAAGGGCUCCUCUGAUCAGACAAGGAAUUGUUUCCUUCCCUUUUACUCCAGAUGACACCUAAAGGUGCAAAAGAAAACCAUCUCUGCACACUACCAAACAGACAGUGCGUGAACGAAGCAGACCCUCCUGACCACAGCCAAGGACUGGAGAGCUUGGUGAAACUGGUGCUCAAGGUAUACAGGUGAGAGGAGCUGGAAAAUUCAUUGCUGACAUGGAGAAAUACAUGUGUAUCGGGGAAAGGGGGCAGAUAUAAGAAGGAUCAUUUUGGUUUGUUUGAAAAUCACAUAUCAAAGUGUUGAGGAAACAGAAGUUAUCCACAUCGUAUUGCCCAAGUCCUUAUUGCCAUAAAUGUAUUGGACAACAUGGGGCACCACAGGAGUAAUAUGCCUCAGACCAGAUUGGAAAUGGAACGUACCGUGACAUACAACCAACUGUUAUUCUUAACAAAAUAUAGGAUCUAACCAAAUUGUCCAUACUGGGGUCUGGAACAGAUUUUUCCUGGGAGCGAAAAAAGAACACGACCCCAAAUCCACUUCUCGUGUUUUUAUUUUUUAUUUUUUUAUUUUUGUUCGCACCGCCCCCCCCCCAGCCCCCAGAGUAAAAGAAAACUGUUUUCUAGGUAAAUGGUCUUUCCUUAGCAGUACUUGCAUGGCUUGGCAUUUGGUGCCCAAAGCAUUCAGCAAUAGGUAACUUCUUUCAGUUUAAAGAUUCUGGCUGGUCCAUUACAUAGAAUUUCAUUUUUAUGAAUCUUUGAAGACUAUCGUACUUGAUAUUUGACAUCCAUUUUGGCUGCUUUCAUCUUUGAACACCUUUCCUGACAUGAAGCUACUCCCCAGCCUCCUCGCAGCUCAGGAGCAGGCAUGGGACAUAGGCUCCACCAAUGAGAUCUGAAUAAGAGAGACUUCGAUUCAGAAGCAAAUGACAAUGUCCUAGGCUGAAGAGUAGUCCCUACAGAUAUCAGAUCCUAAUCCCUGGAAUCCGAAUGUUACCUUAUGUGGCAAAGUCUUUGCAGAUGGGAUUCAGUUAAGGAUGUUGAGAUGAGGAAAUCAUCCUGCAUUACCCAGGUGGGCCUCACAUGCAAUCACAUGUAUCCUUAAAAGAGGCAGUCAGAGGGAGAUUCAACAUGCAUGCAGAGGAGGAGGUCAUAUAAAGAUGGGCCAGAGAGGGAUUUGAAGAUGUUGGACCUGAAGAUUCUGCUUAUGCAGCCACAAGCCAAAGAAUGCUGGUAGACCCCAGAAGCUGGAAAGGAAGAAACGGGUUCUCCUCCAGAACCUCCAGAGAGAGCGCAGCCCUGCCAACACCUUGAUUUCAACCCAAUGAUACCUGAUUUUGGACUUCUGACCUCCAGAAUUGUGAGAGAAUAAAUUUCUGUGGUUUC
rnacentral:lncRNA from 1 species